rnacentral:piRNA from 1 species
UUUCCAUCAUGCAGUGACCAGUUCUAG